rnacentral:ncRNA from 1 species
CCUUUGUACACACCGCCCGUCGCUCCUACCGAUUGGAUGACUCGGUGAAAUCACCGGAUGCUUACGAGCAGAAAGUGAUUAAAUCACGUUAUCUAGAGGAAGGAGAAGUCGUAACAAGGUAACGGUAGGUGAACCUGCCGUUGGAUCAGUU